rnacentral:rRNA from 1 species
GAUGAACGCUGGCGGCGUGCCUAAUACAUGCAAGUCGAGCGAACAGACGAGGAGCUUGCUCCUCUGACGUUAGCGGCGGACGGGUGAGUAACACGUGGAUAACCUACCUAUAAGACUGGGAUAACUUCGGGAAACCGGAGCUAAUACCGGAUAAUAUAUUGAACUGCAUGGUUCAAUAGUGAAAGACGGUUUUGCUGUCACUUAUAGAUGGAUCCGCGCCGCAUUAGCUAGUUGGUAAGGUAACGGCUUACCAAGGCAACGAUGCGUAGCCGACCUGAGAGGGUGAUCGGCCACACUGGAACUGAGACACGGUCCAGACUCCUACGGGAGGCAGCAGUAGGGAAUCUUCCGCAAUGGGCGAAAGCUUGACGGAGCAACACCGCGUGAGUGAUGAAGGUCUUCGGAUCGUAAAACUCUGUUAUUAGGGAAGAACAAAUGUGUAAGUAACUAUGCACGUCUUGACGGUACCUAAUCAGAAAGCCACGGCUAACUACGUG